GGGUCUCCAUGGGAUCACACGCUGGACCAAAGGCAAGCGCCAAACCACUGAGCCACCGGGGCUGCCCUGCAUCCUAUUUUUUAAUUGGCCUGUGACAGUAUAUUAGUUUCAGAUGUACAGCACGACGACGUGAUAAUAGUAUAUUCGUUUCAGGUGUACAGCACAAUGACGCGUGAAAGUGCCUCCUACUUUCCAAAUCACGUUUUCUUUGUUUCCUUUGUUGUUCUCAUUUAAUCCUUUAAUUUGGGGGAUUAAGAUUUUUAUGUUUCAUUUCUGAGGAAUGUAAAAAUGUGAUUGACCGUCAAAAUAAGACGGCCAGGUAUUUUGCCAGCAAACAUGGGUUUGAGAAUAGCAAGAGAAUUGAAAUUUGGGAUAAGCAGGGUAUGGCGAAAUCAUAGGCAAAUCCCCAGAACAAGAGAGGAAUGUUGGUUUAUAGGGGAAAGGGGGAGGUUGGGAAGGCUGUCGCAAAUAAAAAGCCCAUUGGAAUAAACAGAGUUGGAAGUAGAAUGGCUUUUCAGGGGCUGUGGGUUGUGACAAUCUUUUAUUGGCUGGGCUGUUGCCAAGGCAGAGGAAAACCUUCCUCCUGCCGGGGUCCUAAAAUAAUAGCAAAAGUACAUGGACUUGCAAAGUUAUGCUCUUCCGGUUGAGUCUGCAGUUGACUAGGAGCGGUAGGUGUGAGAGCUCUCCCAGCUGGCCUCUCAACUCCAUUAUGGUUAGAUUGCCUUAUAUUCUCACAGAUUUAUAUGUACAUAUAUAUAGUAUAUACAAAUAUAUGUGUAUUUUAAAGAUUUUAUGUUUAUUCAUGAGGCAGAGAUAUAGGCAGAGGGAGUAGCAGGCUCCUUGUGGGGAGCCUGAUGUGAGACUUGGUCCCAGGACCCCAGGAGCCGAAAGCAGAGGCCCAACCACUGAGCCACCCAGAAGCCCCUUAUUCUCACAGAUUUAAAAGGUAUUUAGUACAAAAGUUCCACAUUUGUGGCUGCUGUAGCCUUGCCUAUAGGACUCGUUUAGUCUACGAAUAUAUUUUUUCCUUUUCCGUGAAUUAAGUAGUUUCACAUUUAAAAAAAUGACCUACUGUGAAAGAUUGGGAAAUCUGACCUUGAAAUUAUAAACAAACUUGAAAUAAAUAUCCUGAGUAGCUGGAAUUUUAUCAUUGAAUAUGUGGUAGAUAAUACAACACCACCAGAUAGUGAUAAAUGUGGAGAAAACAAAAGGGUGAAAGGAUCAAAAUUGAUGAGGGCUGUUGUUUACCCAGCAUGGUCAGAGUCCCUUUCUUUGUGUGGGGAACGUUUAACCAGAGUGGAGUUAGGGGGCCUCAUUUACUUACAAGAUUCUAAACUAGGAUUUAGAGUCUGAACGUUUUUGAUGAGCUGGUAGGGCCACUGGCUCACAAACAUCUGUUUGUAUGAAUUUAGUUUUUAGAGAGAAAGGAGUAUUCAAGAAAAAGGUAGGUGCACAAGUACCCAAAACCAGAGGAAAAGAAGAUUAAUUCCUCAACCUGUGCCAUGGGUUAGGUUUUAACUUCUAGUGUGGUACUUAAUAUUCUAGGGAUCAGAGAUCCCUCUGAAAAUGAGAUGAAAUCUGUUGUCUGUCCCCCCCAAAGUACACAAUGCAUACAGUAGAAGCUCUUCCUAACCACUGUCCACUUAACUAAUGUUCUCAAUACCCUUUCUGAAACAUGCCAGCUGAUCCCUAGAAAAUACUAAAGACUCACAGCUAGUAGCUUUCACUUUGGUUCACACCUAUGUAUCUGCUUCCACCAAUUGAGUGGAAUGCUUAGCAAGGGUCAGUUGUAUUUGCUACCAAUCUAUUUCCAUCAUAGGCCUCAUAAUUAUAUAAUUACACAAAUUGAUAAAAUUUGAGUCUGCAAAGAAAAAGAAUUGUUUUUUUCAGGUAUUUAUUUAUUGUACAGCGAGUGAGAGAGCACAAGCAGGAGGGUAGAGUGAGAGGGAGAGAGAAUCCGAAAACAAACUCAUGCUGAGUAUGGAGCCCGACAGGAAGUUUGAUCUCAUGAGUCCAAAGAUCAUGACCAGAGCCAAAACCAAAAGUCAGAGGCUUUAACAGGACAGAGACUGUCCCACCCAGGUGCCCCAGGAAUUACUGUUUUUAGGAAGACCAAAAAUGCGUUGGGAAGACAGGAUAAAGCACCCUGGGCUCCGAGGACCUGAAGAAGAGGACACCUACUCAACACAAUCUUGCCUAGAAGACAAUCAGAAAUAUUUGAUCACUAAAUAAAGGCACCAAACCACCAUCAGAAAGAGAAGGAACAGAACUGCAAAACCAUAAAAACAAUAAAACAAGUAGCAAAAUGGCAGAAGUGCAUACCUAUCAAGAAUAACUUUGAAUAUAAAUGGACUAAAUACUCCAAUCAAAGGGAUAAAGUGAUUGAAUGGAUAAAAUAAAACCACCUAUAUGCUACUUA